UACAGAGGGUGCGAGCGUUGUCCGGAAUCAUUGGGCGUAAAGCGCGCGUAGGCGGCCCAGUAAGUCCGUUGUAAAAGUCAAAGGCUCAACCUUUGAAAGCCGAUGGAUACUGCUGGGCUAGAGUCCGGAAGAGGCGAGUGGAAUUCCUGGUGUAGCGGUGGAAUGCGCAGAUAUCAGGAGGAACACCGAUAGCGAAGGCAGCUCGCUGGGACGGUACUGACGCUGAGGCGCGAAAGCGUGGGGAGCGAACAGG
rnacentral:rRNA from 1 species